CGUAACAGCUGGGGGAGCAUAAGGCGUAAGAUGCCAGGCUGAGAGGCCCGAUCAAUUGAAAGAUAGGGCGACCCCUUAACCUGAACUGGGUAACACCAGCGGAGGGAAGCGCAAAUAACAGGUA
rnacentral:ncRNA from 1 species